rnacentral:rRNA from 1 species
UACGGAGGGGGCUAGCGUUGUUCGGAAUCACUGGGCGUAAAGCGCACGUAGGCGGAUGUGCCAGUCAGGGGUGAAAUCCCGGAGCUCAACUUCGGAACUGCCUCUGAUACAGCACGUCUUGAGUCCGGAAGAGGUGGGUGGAAUUCCUAGUGUAGAGGUGAAAUUCGUAGAUAUUAGGAAGAACACCGGUGGCGAAGGCGGCCCACUCGUCCGGUACUGACGCUGAGGUGCGAAAGCGUGGGGAGCAUACAGU